UGGAUAAGUGGCUGGGCUGUAGGAACAGGGCCUUGUAAAGGGUUAUGAGGGCUCAGGCUGGAGCCUGGAACAGAGAGAGGAACUUCUGGAGACAGAGCACCCUAGGGGAACCAGGGCUGGCUUGACUCCGAAGGAGGUUCAAACAACUCCUGGCUUGCGGCCUGGUUUGAGUCCCUUGCCGUUGUCCACCCCCAGGAUUUUGUCCUCUUCCGUGGCUCCUGAAAAGUGUCCACAGUCGUACGUGGGGUGCUGGAGCGGUCCCUGCCAGGCAGGAGCACCUCUACUGACCCAUGUGCAUGGAGUUGGCGUGGUCGGAUGGAAACAACAAAGAUCUGUUUGGGCCUGGAAAUCUGGUCCCACCUACUCUGGAGAUGGGCCAAAGCUGGGAAGUUCAGAUCUAGAUCAGAAUCCAAAGAUUAAAUAAUGGUGAAAUCUUCAGAUCAAUGGUUCCAGUUCUAGCUGUGGGGGAAGGAGUAAAAGUGUGAACCUAUACAGCAUUACUAAACACUAAGAGGGAACAUAAUUAUCUCCACGUAUCUCAAAGGUAUAAAGGAAUCAUGCAGGUUGGUCCAAGGAAUAGUAAGAUGAAAUGAGGAAAGGAAAGUUUAGAUGGAAUAAUAUCCUAAAAGCAAGGUCAACUAGACUGCAGAACAGCUCUAAAAGCACAUUUUAGAUAAAGAAGAAUCGCCCUUAGCUGCUAGCUGUAUAGAACUUUUGACACACAGAUCAGCAGUUCUCAUUCCAACCAGUAGAGGGCAGUGGCAACACACAUUGACCAGACUGCUCAUUACAUCAAAGUGGUAGCUCAAGCCACUGUGGAAACACACAACUGCAUCACCCUAAAUGAGUUGUACAAAGAGGGAAUGACUGAACCUUGUGAUCAAUGCUGCUCUUUCAUCAACCAGAGGAGCUGCUGUUAAUGACUUGGAGAUCUCCCCCCCGGCAGGCUGGGUGUCUCAGCUGACCCUGCUGUGCUUCCAGCUUUUUGUUGUUGCAUCUCUGCUCCAUAAACUUAUAAAUGGAGUUAGGAGAGUAGCUGGAAGCUGGGCUGAAAUCUCCAAGGGAAAGGCUGCCUGAGAGCUACUGCUUGCAAAUGGCCUUUCAUUUCACAACAGGUCUAUUCCUUGCACUCUCCAUUUGUUUCUCACGCCUCACUGAAGAUGCAUAACACAGAGUAAAUGUCUUAACGUUUGACUGUAUUUCUGCUUGACACUGCAACCCCAAGCAAAUGCUCCUGUUUGGAUCUGACAAUUUCUGCAAAUGACACUUGUAUCUCAAGUCGACAUCACCCCCAGGAGGUCAGAGAGAUCCUCCUCCCCCCAAAUAAGGGCUUGUUUCCCCUUUCCCAAGGCCUCUUUCCACCACUGACACAACCUUAUGUGCCCCUCACUAUGGAACUGGAAACAAGCAGCCACAUGGAAUGCCAAGGUGGCUGGGUACUCUCAGGCUCUGCUCUCUCUCUCUCUGGCCCAUAUGUGACACUGGGAUCAAGUCUUGCUUAGAGCAAUAAAAAGGUCUAAGGCUUGAGCUGCAAGAGACACAAAGAGUGUCUGUCAUUUGCUUCUUUCUUCCUCUGCAGUGUUCCCACCCGGAAUCUGCCAGCACACAGCUGGUGGCGCAGUAAUUAUAGAUGGGCUAGAACCAAGUCCCUAGCUCUGAGGAUCCUUUCGCACCACAAAACAGACAGACAAAAGCCUGGGGAAAGAGUUUGGAAACUGGAACCAGAUCCAAAUUUUGCAUCUGCUCCCUCUUUCUAUAGCAGGCCAAGACAAAACCCUGGACCCAAAUACACCCAAACUUAGGGAAUUCAGAAGCUGGAUCCAGAUCCAAAUUUUGCAGCUUGGGUUCAUCUAUUAUAUGUAUCUCUCUGUGUACAUUUGUGAACAGGUAGAUAUGUAUGUAUUUGUGUGUAAUAGUGUGUCUCUGUGCAUAAACAUGUGCAUGCAGAAAGGUGAGUCAUUGUGGGGUUGUGUGUGCACACAUAUAUUCCGUGUGUGUUAUCUAAGGGAUAGUGUAUAGUGCAUUUAUGUUUGUGCAGAGGAUUGUGUGUGUGUAUACACACUGCCAAAUGGAUGAGUGAACUCCUAUGGCUUUUGUUAUGUCAUUUUGCACCUUAUUGUUGAUUUCCCUGCUUUUGAUGGCCAUUGCUUUUUAAUCAAGAAGUAAAUUAAGGUUUAAUUAC